CCCAUCUUGAUAGUUUAUAGAUAUUAUAAACUAUAAUACCUUCCUUACCUGUUUCCCUGGUCAUUGGUACCAUGUAUGUAAAAGAUGGCUUUAUAUAUGUAAAACUUUUUUAUGUAUCUCAGACUAGCCUCAAACUGCGAAACACACAAAGAUGAUGUUGAACUUCUGAUCAUCCUGACUGCACUUCCUUAUUGGGAUUACAUGUGUGUACCAAACACAAUGCUUCAUGGAUGCAAGGUGUCUUUAGAGGAGCUCAGUACCACUCAGUGAUUGCUCCAACCCACUCAGUGAUCUGUGCUUUGGGAGGUGCUGACAAGUCCUCAGUGGCUGGCUGGGCACUCCAGUCUUUAGUAGGGAACUGCUGGAUGGGUACAGAGGGCACCUCAGACCAGUCUGCCACUUCUGGUUAAGCAGCAAUGAACUCAGGAGCUGGGACAGUCCAUUCACACUGGAAUUCCUCCUUGGUCAUGGAAUGUAUCUCCAUUUCAUGUUUCAAGUUUUGUCAAAGAGAUUCAGCAAUAAAAAUAGCAUGGUACUUGCUUAACAA